rnacentral:rRNA from 1 species
UACGUAGGUGGCAAGCGUUGUCCGGAAUUAUUGGGCGUAAAGCGCGCGCAGGCGGUCCUUUAAGUCUGAUGUGAAAGCCCACGGCUCAACUGUGGAGGGUCAUUGGAAACUGGGGGACUUGAGUGCAGGAGAGAAGAGUGGAAUUCCACGUGUAGCGGUGAAAUGCGUAGAGAUGUGGAGGAACACCAGUGGCGAAGGCGACUCUUUGGCCUGUAACUGACGCUGAGGCGCGAAAGCGUGGGGAGCGAACAGG